CAAACGGCCCUUUUCAGGGCCCCUGUAAAUAUUAUAAAUACACAUGG
rfam:Camponotus floridanus CamFlo_1.0_4.contig2588, whole genome shotgun sequence.